GAGACACCCUUAUGGGGCAGGACUUGCUUCAGUGGGGCUUUGGCACUCACUGAGUCUGCCCCCUGAGUGUGUCCCU
rfam:Myotis brandtii contig239828, whole genome shotgun sequence.